GACGAACGCUGGCGGCGUGCUUAACACAUGCAAGUCGAACGGAAAGGCCCUGCUUUUGUGGGGUGCUCGAGUGGCGAACGGGUGAGUAACACGUGAGUAACCUGCCCUUGACUUUGGGAUAACUUCAGGAAACUGGGGCUCAUACCGGAUAGGAGCUCCUGCUGCAUGGUGGUGGUUGGAAAGUUUCGGCGGUUGGGGAUGGACUCGCGGCUUAUCGGCUUGUUGGUGGGGUAGUGGCUUACCAAGGGUUUGACGGGUAGCCGGCCUGAGAGGGUGACCGGCCACAUGGGGACUGAGAUACGGCCCAGAAUCCUACGGGAGGCAGCAGUGGGGAAUAUUGCACAAUGGGCGGAAGCCUGAUGCAGAAACGCCGCGUGCGGGAUGACGGCCUUCGGGUUGUAAACCGCUUUCGCCUGUGACGAAGCGGGAGUGACGGUAAUGGGUAAAGAAGCACCGGCUAACUACGUG
rnacentral:rRNA from 1 species